rnacentral:rRNA from 1 species
AUUGAACGCUGGCGGCAGGCCUAACACAUGCAAGUCGGACGGUAGCACAGAGAGCUUGCUCUUGGGUGACGAGUGGCGGACGGGUGAGUAAUGUCUGGGGAUCUGCCCGAUAGAGGGGGAUAACCACUGGAAACGGUGGCUAAUACCGCAUAACGUCGCAAGACCAAAGAGGGGGACCUUCGGGCCUCUCACUAUCGGAUGAACCCAGAUGGGAUUAGCUAGUAGGCGGGGUAAUGGCCCACCUAGGCGACGAUCCCUAGCUGGUCUGAGAGGAGAACCAGCCACACUGGAACUGAGACACGGUCCAGACUCCUACGGGAGGCAGCAGUGGGGAAUAUUGCACAAUGGGCGCAAGCCUGAUGCAGCCAUGCCGCGUGUAUGAAGAAGGCCUUCGGGUUGUAAAGUACUUUCAGCGGGGAGGAAGGCGGUGAGGUUAAUAACCUCGCCGAUUGACGUUACCCGCAGAAGAAGCACCGGCUAACUCCGUGCCAGCCGCCGCAGUAA